CAUGGAACAUGUUUGGACAACCCCCUGCUGCCUAUUUGCUCCUGGGCUGGGGGGAGCAGCCUGGGGCUCAGUCCCUCCCCAAAGGCAGUUUUCUGCUUUGCUCAUCUCCAUGCCUGAAGGUCACAGCUGGAGAGUUUCUUUUUCUUCUGGAGAUCACAGGGGUGAAGGAAACUGCACAAGAAGCCUUCAGACGCAAGCCCUGUAUUUUGUACCAGAGUUGCUCUAACCAUUCCUUCUAUCUCUGUCCCCUGUUCCUAUUUCCAAUCCCCUCACUUGCAUUCAUGUGUUUAAUGUACUUUAUUUUGUUUUCUGUUGUUUUUCUAUAUAAUUGUGAAAUGCCUCAGUUAAUUUGUACUCCUGCACUUUUAACCAUGGUUCCUGGAUGCAAGCACAGAACCUGAUUCUCACUUAUGCAGAAAAGGAGGGGACUGAAGACCAUCAGAUAAGAGCACAUAACCUGAGUCUUCUACACAUAAUCUGAAAUUGAGGGAUUCUAUCAAGAGAAAGCUUCAUGGGCGUGAGAGUAACACAGAUCAUGCCCGAAAUCACUUCACAUCCAGUUCGAACACUUCAAAAGUGGAAAGAAAAUACUUAAAAAUUCAAAAUAUUUUUUAAAAGGCUGAGGCAGACGGGAGUAUGGUGUGAAAACCAAACUCUGUAGCAGAAAGGCUGGAUUCCAUCACCUCGGAUCAGCACUCACCUUCCUUAAGUCUCAUUUCUUCACCACUAAUUUGGCUUUUCAAGACCUUAAGUUAUUAAAGUUGAAUAUUUCCUUUUCAGCAAA